CCAGGCGGAAACGAAGCCUAACGUCCGUUUCUUUAAUAACUUUGCACCGGCUCGACGAAUCGCCGAACCGUCGCUUCCAACGCGUUCGUAGACCUAGCAAUUAGGUAAACAGAGGGUUAAAAGAGAUCAAACCCAACAAUUUAUAAAAAUCCCAUUUUGAGCCCUAGGUUUCAACUAUUGCAAGAAUACUCUACUACAACCUUAGAUUCAUGCAAUAAUCAUCUAUUAGGCAUCAAUGGGUUCCACUAAAACCAUUUCCAAAGCAUUUGGACCUAUCUUUAGAGAUCUACCAUUAAAGCCCUCAUUUUGGAGCUCUAGGUUUCAAUAGGUAAAAAUCCACCAUUAGAACUUAGAAUCUAAGCAUAACUCAUCUUCUUAGCAUCUAGGAAAGCUACUAAUUCGUUUCUAGAGCUUAAAACCCAAGCAAUAGAGAAAUGCCAUUAAAGCUCUUAAAGCUUACCUUCAAAGCAUGCUCCAAUGGAGAGGAAGAAGAUGAAGUUGAUGAAGAUCAACUUCCAAGCUUACUUCUCCACCAAAUCCAUCCAUUUUGGGAGAGAUUUAGAGAGAGAAAAUGGAAGGCUUCUCUUUCUCCCUCUUUCCAUGCGUGUGUGUGUGUGGCGUGUGCGUGUGUGGUGUGCGGCCGAAGGAGAAGAAGAAGCAUCAGCUUCUUCAUAAUACCCCUCAAACACUAUUCAUCCAGGCAACUUAAAAUCUGAUAACUUUCGCCGGAGCUCCCUGAAUGUCCGUUUGAGCUCAAACUUGACAGUCAUGUUCGGUUUUACUUAACUUAACAAGCUGACGAUCACUGGUUCAGUUUCAACUCCGUUUGGUCACUGAAAACUGUACCGAACUGCAAUCUUUAUCAGAUAGCUUUCGAAUUUUAUUUCUCACUCUACGGGUGUCAGAAAAAUGUGAAACCUUAAAUCUAGCCUCAUAAAAAUAUUUCUGACAUCUCUGCCAAUUUUCAUAAUUUUCUGAGACUGUGCAUUUUCUGCUAAUUUAUCUGCCCCGUUUCCAACAGAAAAUUCUAAAUCUUCUGUUUUAAUUCCGAUUUCAGCACAGGUCAUUCCCAACUUAUAUUUCACUUCUCCAAAUUCAAUAAAAAUAGUAUCUCAUACUAUUUUUAUUUAUUUCUUUUUUUUUUUAUAUUUAAAUCCGGUGUAUUAUAUUACACCGCAACCUUACCGGAACCAUUCAAAUGGCUCUCCAACCAAAUGGACACCGUAACCUCAUGAUUUUAGAAGUCCGGUACCUUACAUU
rnacentral:lncRNA from 1 species